rnacentral:rRNA from 1 species
CGCGUAGGUGGUUUGAUAAGCGAGAUGUGAAAGCCCCGGGCUUAACCUGGGAACGGCAUUUCGAACUGUCAGGCUAGAGUGUGGUAGAGGGUAGUGGAAUUUCCUGUGUAGCGGUGAAAUGCGUAGAUAUAGGAAGGAACACCAGUGGCGAAGGCGGCUACCUGGACCAACACUGACACUGAGGCGCGAAAGCGUGGGGAGCAAACAGGAUUAGAUACCCUGGUAGUCCACGCCGUAAACGAUGUCAACUAGCCGUUGGGACUCUUGAAGUCUUAGUGGCGCAGCUAACGCACUAAGUUGACCGCCUGGGGAGU